CUGAAAAAUCAGGCUUCUGAGAGCGUGAGGGGAAUGAACAAGUAACAAAACAGAAAGUGCAGCCCUUUCCUCUGAAACAGUGCAGCGGUGGCCCUGGAAUGGAGAUAGGCGGCAGAACGUAGUUGAUCUUCGUGGAGAUUGCAGAGCAAGCCAGGUUUUGGAGUCUUUAAAUGACAUGUUACAGUGACCAAAGUAUAAAGCUGGAAGUUUGGUGUCUGGAAGCUGGAAGCCCCACUUUUGGUGCAGUUAAAAUGUAGGAAUAUGAGCAGCUUGGAAAUACUUGUGGGCAUCAGAUACAGCUGUGCCUCCUUCACAUUACCCUGGCCUGGGACAUCUUGAUACAAAAUCAGAUUACUGCCUGUGUAUCUGUAUAAUAUUAAAAGGAAAAGAACUGCACCAAACACACACCGAGUGAUGAGGCAACCUGACCAGUACUCUGUUCUUUCGCAAGUUGAGCUAGGAAGCCUGGAGAAGAUUAGAGAGUAAAUUAUGUGCUUGUUUCUAUUUCCUGUUGGGAGUGCCUCUCUGUUGAUAUGCAUUGUUUGCUCCUGCACCUGCUCUCUUU
rnacentral:lncRNA from 1 species